UACAGAGGUCUCAAGCGUUGUUCGGAUUCAUUGGGCGUAAAGGGUGCGUAGGCGGCGCGGUAAGUCGGGUGUGAAAUCUCGGAGCUUAACUCCGAAACUGCAUUCGAUACUGGCGUGCUUGAGGACUGGAGAGGAGACUGGAAUUUACGGUGUAGCAGUGAAAUGCGUAGAUAUCGUAAGGAAGACCAGUGGCGAAGGCGGGUCUCUGGACAGUUCCUGACACUGAGACACGAAGGCCAGGGGAGCAAACGGGG
rnacentral:rRNA from 1 species